UCGAGGAUCUUCGGCAAUGGGCGCAAGCCUGACCGAGCGACGCCGCGUGCGCGAUGAAGGCCUCCGGGUUGUAAAGCGCUUUAGGGGGGGAGAAAAGCCCGCAAGGGUGUGAUCUAUCCCCAAAAUAAGCACGGGCUAAGUUCGUGCCAGCAGCCGCGGUAAGACGAACCGUGCGAACGUUGUUCGGAAUCACUGGGCUUAAAGGGCGCGUAGGCGGGCUGUCAAGUCUGGGGUGAAAUGCCGCGGCUCAACCGUGGAACUGCCUUAGAUACUGACGGCCUCGAGGGAGAUAGGGGCAUGCGGAACUGUAGGUGGAGCGGUGAAAUGCGUUGAUAUCUACAGGAACUCCGGUGGCGAAAGCGGCAUGCUGGAUCUCUUCUGACGCUGAGGCGCGAAAGCUAGGGGAGCAAACG
rnacentral:rRNA from 1 species